rnacentral:lncRNA from 1 species
UUCAUCUUUUGGUCUUGAUGAAAGAUGUAAUGGGAAGAAAAUAUAUAAAUGGCAUAUGUUUUGGAGGAUAUGAAAUGUAUUUUGUAAAAAUGAAUGUAAAUUGUAAUAUGCUUGUAUUUGGUUAAAUGAAAUCAAGAUACAUGUGAUGUGAUGAUAGUUGUAGAACUUUCACUUAUUGGUUGUUGCUUGCUUUCGUGCAAGCCAUGUAUAUCUAAGUUUCCGCUUGCGUAAAUUAUAUACAUGUUGAUAUUGUGUUGUGCCUUGGGCGGACAGGGGAGGUGCUGUCUGUCCGGCGUCUGUUGACGUA